UAGGGAAUCUUCCGCAAUGGGCGAAAGCCUGACGGAGCAACGCCGCGUGAGUGAUGAAGUUCUUCGGAUCGUAAAACUCUGUUAUUAGGGAAGAACAAAUGUGUAAGUAACUAUGCACGUCUUGACUGUACCUAAUCAGAAAGCCACGGCUAACUACGUGCCAGCAGCCGCGGUAAUACGUAGGUGGCAAGCGUUAUCCGGAUUUAUUGGGCGUAAAGCUCGCGUAGGCGGUUUUUUAAGUCUGAUGUGAAAGCCCACGGCUCAACCGUGGAGGGUCAUUGGAAUCUGGAAAACUUGAGUGCAGAAGAGGAAAGUGGAAUUCCAGCUGCAGCGGUGAAAUGCGCAGAGAUAUGGAGGAAUGCAAGUGGCGAAGGCGAAUUUCUGGUAUGUAACUGACGCUGAUGUGCGAAAGCGUGGGGAUCAAACAGG
rnacentral:rRNA from 1 species